rnacentral:rRNA from 1 species
GAAAGUAAAUAAGGGCGCAUGGCGGAUGCCUUGGCUCUCGGAGGCGAUGAAGGACGUGAUAAGCUGCGAUAAGCUUCGGGUAGGUGCAAAUGACCAUUGAUCCGAAGAUUUCCGAAUGGGACAACCCGGCAUUCUGAAGGAAUGUCAUCCAACUUGGUUGGAGGCUAACGCAGGGAACUGAAACAUCUUAGUACCUGCAGGAAAAGAAAAUAAAUAAUGAUUCCCCUAGUAGUGGCGAGCGAACGGGGAUUAGCCCAAACCACCCAUGUUACGGCAUGUGUGGGGUUGUAGGACCACGCUCUCGCAAGACAGUUAUUGAGAAGAAACGACUGGAAAGUCGUGCCAUAGACGGUGAUAGCCCGGUAUUCUAAGGUAACCGAAGCGUAGUGGUAUCCUGAGUAGCGCGGAGCACGAGGAAUUCUGCGUGAAUCAGCCGGGACCAUCCGGUAAGGCUAAAUACUCCCGAGAGACCGAUAGCGAACCAGUACUGUGAAGGAAAGGUGAAAAGCACUUCGAAUAGAAGAGUGAAAUAGUCCCUGAAACCAUGCGCCUACAAGCGGUCGGAGCAGCUUAAGUUGUGACGGCGUGCCUUUUGCAUAAUGAACCUACGAGUUACUUUUUCCGGCAAGGUUAAGCAUCUUGAGAUGUGGAUCCGAAGCGAAAGCGAGUCUGAACAGGGCGGAUAGUCGGAAGGAGUAGACGCGAAACCAAGUGAUCUACCCUUGGGCAGGUUGAAGGUUAGGUAACACUAACUGGAGGACCGAACCGAUAAGCGUUGAAAAGCUUCCGGAUGACCUGAGGGUGGGGGUGAAAGGCUAAUCAAACUUGGAGAUAGCUCGUACUCCCCGAAAUGCAUUUAGGUGCAGCCUUGAGAGUUACUAAUGUGAGGUAGAGCGACUGAUAAGAUGCGAGGGCUUCACCGCCUAUCAAGUCUUGAUAAACUCCGAAUGCGCAUUAGUUCUAUCUCAGGAGUGAGGGCAUGGGUGCUAAGGUCCAUGUCCUAAAGGAGAAGAAUCCAGACCAUCAGCUAAGGUCCCCAAAUAAACACUAAGUUGAACUAACGAAGUCAGAUUGCUAAGACAGCUAGGAUGUUGGCUUGGAAGCAGCCAUUCAUUUAAAGAGUGCGUAACAGCUCACUAGUCGAGGAGUUUGGCGUGGAUAAUAAUCGGGCAUAAGUGUUUUACCGAAGCUAUGGGAUACGUAAGUAUCGGUAGGGGAGCAUUCCACUCUGCGUUGAAGGCGAAGCGUGAGCUUUACUGGAGCGUGUGGAAAAGCAAAUGUAGGUAUAAGUAACGAUAAAGGGGGUGAGAAACCCCCUCGCCGCAAGACUAAGGUUUCCUGAUCAACGCUAAUCGGAUCAGGGUUAGUCGGGUCCUAAGGCUCAGCCGAACGGUGAGGCCGAUGGCAGAACAGGUUAAUAUUCCUGUACUACCUGUAAGAGUGAUGUGGAGACGGAGGAGUGACAACGCCGCGGACUGACGGAAUAGUCCGUUAAAGGGUGUAGAUGUUGAUUAUCCCAGGCAAAUCCGGGAUAAGAGUCGAACCUGAUAGUAUACCAAUUUCCUCGGAAAACGGUAAUAGUGCGUGUAAACAUACUCCCAAGAAAAUCCGCUAAACUUAAUCUUACAGGUACCCGUACCGUAAACGGACACACGUAGUCGGGUUGAAUAUACUCAGGCGCUUGAGUGAAUCACGGUUAAGGAACUAGGCAAAUUGACCCUGUAACUUCGGGAUAAAGGGUCCCUACCCGGUGACGGGAGGGCGCAGAGAAUAGGUCCAGGCAACUGUUUAACAAAAACACAGGGCUGUGCAAAAUUGAAAGAUCACGUAUACAGCCUGACACCUGCCCGGUGCUGGAAGGUUAAGAGGAGAUGUCAUCGCAAGAGAAGCAUUGAAUUGAAGCCCCAGUAAACGGCGGCCGUAACUAUAACGGUCCUAAGGUAGCGAAAUUCCUUGUCGGGU